rnacentral:rRNA from 2 species
GCCGAUGUCUGAUUAGCUAGUUGGUGGGGUAAAGGCCUACCAAGGCGACGAUCAGUAGUUGGUCUGAGAGGACGACCAGCCACACUGGGACUGAGACACGGCCCAGACUCCUACGGGAGGCAGCAGUGGGGAAUUUUGGACAAUGGGCGCAAGCCUGAUCCAGCAAUGCCGCGUGAGUGAAGAAGGCCUUCGGGUUGUAAAGCUCUUUCAGUCGAGAAGAAAAGGCUGCAGUGAAUAACUGUAGUUUAUGACGGUAUCGACAGAAGA